AAUUAGGGCUGGGGGUGUGGGUUAGCCCGUUUCUGAAACACCGGGGGUGAUGUGGACUUCUUUCGAGUCCAUCACCGAGUCUCUCUAUCGCCGGAGCCCCGCGGAAGAAAAAUAAUCUCUCGCCGGGGAGGGGCCAAGCACAGCCCCGCCCCUCCCCGCCGUCGACGCUUCUCGAGACCCUUGUGACGGCGAGGAUUUCUGGGCCAGGCACGGCGACCCUUCGCCGGAGCUCGCAGGAGCGCAGCAGCCUUGGUACUGGAUCGGAUCUCGCGAGAUGUUUUUAGACGUGGCGGAACAGAGAGGAGAGGGCACUUCUCUUCUUCUUCAGAUGUGCGGCUCAGCCAAAAUUUGUGUCGGGUCAGAUGUUUGGUGAUACGGCCAGUAAGUCCUUGGACAUCAGAAAUGGUAUGCGUCAGUGGCGCCUUGAUUUGUGAGAUCAUGUCUGUGAGAAGCCUCCACAUAUCUGGAUCUCGA